CCCCACCCUCCUCCCUGUUCUGUUCUCCUGCACGUUUCUCCUCCCUCCCCUUCUUGCUCAGCCACCCCUCCUCCCAGCUGCUGAGUGCUGGAGCUGGAGGCCGGCACUCGCAUUCUCCUCACUGAGUGCGCUGGAGACUGACACUCACUAUCACACACUCUCUCCUGCAGACAAGAAAGCACAGGGGCUUAUACACAGUCAGACAGGUAGAUACACAGACAGACGGGUUAUUAGAAAUUUGGGAAAUUAACCAAUAUGUCUCAAUGGAGCAGUUCUUCUUGUUGGGCCAUUUACCUCAGAUUUUCCUAAGAUACUGAGCACCUAAAGCAGAGGAAAUAUCUUCAACAAGACAUGAGGAGCAUCUAAGUCGGUCUUCUUCAGCAAGGAGUUUUCCUCCCUUCCAUCACUGAAGGCUGCUGGAACACACAGUUGUGGACUUUCCAAGAUGAGCCUGAAAAAGCGAAAACCCGGUGUGGCCUUCAGCUGGCAUAAGUCAUUUGCCAUCCUUGCCCCAUGGAGAAAAGGUAAAGGAGAUAUGGCUUUGGAAAAUGAAGUUGUGCUGACCAAGAUGAAGCUCUUCAACAACUUUCAGGAGAAGCUUUCGAACGCUGAGGACUCUGUGUCCACUAUGUCCAUGUCUGUGUCGGAGCAGGACGUUUCUGCACCUCUUCAUGCUGCGGAGGUCAUCUCAGUCCACAGUGCGCCACCAAAUAUGGAAGAGUCCAAGUCCAAUAAGGACUAUUUAUCUUCAAUUUUCUCUGAUUCCAAGCUGCCAAGUUUGUACAAAUUCGAAUCAGAGGACUCUGGGGUGGAGAUGCCCAGUGGUGCGAACUCUCCGUCCACUCCAACAGGUUCAGAGCACAGCUUCAUUGUUCAUAGUAGAGAGUCCUCUUGUGACUCCGGCACUUUGAACCCACCCAUCCCAUCCAGCUCGCCUAUUCUCUUACUAGAACAGAGUCUAGAAAAUGAACAGACCUCUUCCACAUUCACCCAAGAAGAUCUGACAGAACUGACUGCAUUAGAAUGUAGAUCAGAGGACCAGACAGACAAUGUUCUAAUGGAAGCCACAGGAGAUUCAGAACGAUCCGGAGACAGAACCUCGGGGGACGUCUCUGAGCUCCACGAGGAUGCUUUGGUAUGUGCAGACACAGUGAAGGAGACAGCAGAGAGUGAAGCUGAGGAGGAUACAGGGUCACAGAGUCAUUCCAUCGAAGCUUAUGACGGCAACGCAGGGGCGGAAUCCCAACACCGGCCGCUACGGAAAAGUACAACGAGUGACAGUCUGGACGAGUACAUGGAGGAGUGCUGCAGGCUCAGUGAGGUGAAUCAGGCUCAGUCUAAUCCACUGGGCUCAGGACUGGGUUAUCUGGAACACAUCUGCCAGCUUAUAGAGAAGAUCGGCCAGCUACAGGAGCACAACCUCAAACUGCAGAAACAGAUAUGCAGCCUGCAAAAGGACAGCAAGAUGAUGAAGACUAAAGAGGACUUCUUCGUACAGCACUGUCACUGUGGAGCAGCUGGUCUGGCCUUUCAGGAGCUGAAGAGGUAUUCUCGCAGUGAUUACCACAGCCUAGCAGCAUCCAACGGCACGCUGUCUGACCUCAGCACCAUCCCAGAGGGCACACGCAUCCCCCACCGGUCAGGUGGCAGAGAUGGUGAGGGGAGCUGCCAGUCAGUUGUGCCCAUGUGGAGGAGAGGCUUGAAUAGGAGGAGCUACACCGAGGGAGAGACAAGAUACUUCAGUGGCAGCGCUGAGGUCCUCCCUGCCUCUCACAGACGAGUGGAGAGCUACACGUGGGGCAGGGUGAAGGAUCUGAUGAAGAAGACAAGGUUUAGAAACCAAAGCAGACUGGGACUGUCCUCCGGCUCCCUCAAGAGAUCAUGUCCUCAGCUAUACAGGCCUGAACUGGGUCAGAUGGAAUUUUCCAGAAGAGACAGGAACUCCAUGAUUGUCCUGGGCCAUCAGAAACUGGACUAUCACUGGUUUCAUUAGCAUAAAUCAGUUGGACGCUGAACAGAUGGCGUAUGAUGGGGCAACAUUUCCCUGAAGAGGAGGACGCGCUGAAGUUGUACAGAUCCAGGCACAGAAAGACAGUGAGCAGAGGGAGGAUAAGAAGAAGUGGAUGAGAAAGUGAACUGUGAUUGAUGGGAAAAGGGUUAAGAUGCAAAACGGAGGUGACCUUCAAACCUUCAGACCUUGACAUGCACCCAUAUGUACAGUAUGUUUAAAUGAGUGUACUAUGGACAUAUUCAUGUGUCUGCUACAGCAUAUUUGUCAUUCAACACAUGUUAGUGGCCACAUAUGAAUAACAUAUACUUAGAAAUGAAUUUGGGUGUGGCUGUAAAGUCUAUAUAGAAGUAUAUAGAAAUAUAAGAACAUAAGAAUAUAAGAAAUAUCCGCGUAUUACCAUCUGCUCCUAUGUAGAACAUUUUAUUGGGGCAUUUCACUUUUACUUUUUUUAUCUGAACAUUUCUGUGAAAUAUCUUUCAGAAGCAGCAAUAAUAUCAAAAAAUAAAAGUACUAUAUACUGUAUUAAUAACUGUAAA
rnacentral:lncRNA from 1 species